GGCGGGGCGGGGCAGGGCGGGGGCGGAGUGGAAGGGGGGAGGGGCAGGGACGAGGGCGGCGAAGGAGCCGCGGGUGAGGGAGGGGAGGAGGCCGGGGGUCGGGGUCGCCUGGGCCCCCCCCCAUUUCCCGGCCCGCCUUUGCCCCGGCUGCCCUGUGGGCUGGGUCUGUUGUCUGGGGUUGCCAGCAGUCACUGGGACCAAGUCGAAUGGGAGAGAGAACUGAGCUCUCCAGGACUGAGUCAGGAAACACGUUGGUAAUCAGUACUGGGGGCGGCCGUUCCCAGGGUACUCCUAGCAGGUGACAGGAAGGGACGUGGGUGCGGUGGGACCCAUGCAGGCUGAAAGGCGGGUAAUGCUGAGUCUCACUGAGCCAAGGAAGACCAGGAGCUUCCAGAAGAGGGAGCCUGGAGUUGAGGCCUGCAAGAUCUCCAGGGUUCCCUGGGGACUCAGCAGAGUGACCGCGCCGUGUCAACUGGCCGCACCGUGCAGGCGGGUAUGGGGGUCAGCGAGAGCAGACGCCUCCUCCCAGGGGUGUCCGCAGACUGCCCAGAGGGCAGCCGCCUCACAGAUAUCUCCAUUUGCCGGGAGAUGCCCAGCCUGGAGGUGAUCACGCUCAGGUACCUCGCUCCUGCUGUCAUGCUCAGCCUGGGGCCUGGAAGCCGGGGCAGAGCCUCACAUCCCUCCAGUGGGACCCAGCACUGUGACAUAACCUGGAAACUUCCAACACAGACUGAGGGCAGCUUCCAGAAGGGGAGGGGCCAGGACAGCGAGAGCUGGGCCUAGUCUGUGGCCCCCAUGUUCAACCCUCCUUCCUCAGAGCCUCACCUGGGCCUCCUGAUGGCUCCUGUCCCCUGCCUGCCCUGCUGUACCCCUGCCCACCCUUGGCCUGUGUGCUCCGACAAGCCAUUGCUGUGUUCACUGGGCCAGUCGGUGGUGGAGCCCUCCUAAGGAUUCACGGUGGCCCGCCCUGGCCGCCCCCACGGUGGCCACAUCUGCCCUGGGACCCCCAGAGUCCUGGCCUGUUCUGCCCCCCAGUGCCACCACUGCCUACCAGUUUCUCUGCACCCCAUGACCUGUGCCCGUCUUCUGGGGUCACUGCCCUCCCAGCAGACUAAGGGAAGCUUGAAUGAACAAACGUUACUGGACUUUCAGGCAGUUGGGGUGUAUUUGGGGGCUCUGGGGAAGAGAAGAGCUCCCUUUAUCCCUGAAUUCCCUCCUGCCUACUGUGGGACCCAGGGAGGGAGCAGACGCUCAUGGCUCACCACUGCCCACCAGACGCUGGAUGGGCGCCUUCUGUGGGUUUCCGCAUUUAAAAGCUCACAAGGGUUUAAACCCUGUGGGGAAGGCCCACCCCUCUGGCAGCUCAGAAGUCUCCAGGGCUUGCCCUCUGAGAGUGGGUGUUGCAGGCCCCUGGUCCCUGACUGUGACCUACCUUCUUGAUCUCACAGGCAGCCACGGGGUAGGCCAGCCCCUGCCCAUCCUCCGUAAUGCCCUCCGAGGUUGGCAUUGCCAUGUUGAUGCCCGUGCCCAGCCUGCUGCCCGCCAUGGGCUGAGGCCAGUCCAUCUGGUGUUCAGGCAUCCCCAGCGCGGGCACCAGCCUGUCCUGCCCGAGCCUUGCUGAAUGAAUGAAAUGGGCUUGGAGGCAUGCUCAUGGGUCAAAUCUCAGCCCUCCCAUCUAUUGGCUGGCUAACCUUGGGCGAGGCAUGGCCCUCUCUGUGCCUCAGUUUCCUUUCUGUAACAUGGAGGUAUUACAAGUGCCCACCCCACAGGGAGACGAGGAGGAGAUGGAGCCCGAGUCCAGAGGUUGAGCAGGGGUGCGCGUGCCCGCCCAGAGAUUGAGCGGGGGGGGGGGUGCGCGUGCCCGCCCAGAGGUUGAGCGGGGGGGUGCGCGUGCCCGCCCAGAGGUUGAGCGGGGGGGGGUGCGCGUGCCCGCCCAGAGGUUGAGUGGGGGGGGGGGUGCGCGUGCCUGCCGCGGUGCUCGUUUCACUAGUCAGGCGACACAGUGAGGCUGGGAUUUCAGGCCUGCCUCCGAAAGGCUUACCUGACAGGGAAACGUGGAGCUUGUGGUUCCCACGGUGGCAGGAAGCUUGGGGCGGGGCUGCGGAUCCAGCCCUAUCCCUGCCGCUCACUGAGUCACCCAGGGGCCACAGGGCUUCCGAGCAUCAGGCCGCUCGUGUGUGGGGCCAUUUCUGUCACAUCUCGGGAGGGACAGGACCCCAAGGGUGUUGACCGAGCUCAGGUGCGUGGUGCCUGCACGCCUGACUGCACUGGAGCGGAGCAGGAAGCCUCGAGGCCGCGGACGCGGCCCGCACAUCACGCUGCUGCCUGUGCCUGAGGCAGACCCCAUCCUGGAAAGAGUCCCACAGCCUGAGUUUUGCUCUUGUGUCAACAGCAUCUCCACCCUGGAGCCUGUGAGCCGGUGCCAGCGCCUGAGUGAGCUGUACCUGCGGAGGAACCGCAUCCCCAGCCUGGCUGAGCUCUUCUACCUGAAGGGGCUGCCGCGUCUGCGGGUGCUGUGGCUGGCCGAGAACCCGUGCUGCGGCACCAGCCCCCACCGCUACCGCAUGACCGUGCUGCGCACCCUGCCGCGCCUGCAGAAGCUGGACAACCAGGCUGUGACGGAGGAGGAGCUGUCCCGUGCACUGAGUGAGGGAGAGGAGAUCACUGCGGCCCCAGAGAGAGAGGGCACAGGCCACGGCGGCCCCAAGCUAUGCUGCACACUGAGCUCCCUCAGCUCCGCUGCUGAGACUGGCCGGGACCUGCUGGACAGCGAGGAGGAGGCAACGUGAGGCUGGAGGGCAGCGGGGACUCCGCAGCCCAUCCCUGUCCCCCAGGGUCCUCCCACGGGGAGUGAAUGGGGCUUCCCAUGAGCUGCGUCUCUGGGAAGUGAGGGAGAGGGAUUAUCCGGGGGGAGUGUCUGUUCUCAUCCAUAUUCUCUGGGAGUGACUCAGUGCCCAGGUAGUGAUUUCAGUGGCAGGUCCAUGUUUUGCCCAACAGCGGAUGUGCCAGGGAGCAGGAGAGGGGGUGAGCCAGGCCCCGUGCCCUGGCACAGAGAAGGCUCACAGCACCGGAGCUCGUGAGGUGCAGGGAGCCCCUGGUGGGGGGUGUGGCCUAGGGCCACAGUGACUGGAAUGGUUUGUGGGCACGGCCAUCAGUGCCCGUAUGGCCUUGGGCCUGGGGGCCGUGGAGGGGCCACAGGGCUGACUCUGCAGUGAGACGCCGGCACCUCCCAGGGCAGUUGGCAGUGGGCAGUGGGUCACGAACGCAUUUGACAGAAGCUGGGCACUUCUCUCCUGCUUGGCAGAUCACACCCGCUGCUGGUGCCUGUGGUGGGGGCAUCGGGAUGUGAUCUCUGUUAGGCAUCUGCCGUCUGGCACAGGGCCUGACCCUAUGGUCAGGAGCUCUCCCCCGGCAUUUGUGUGUUCGGGUGCCCCCCACCCUGCCCCCGAAGCCCUGGGUGGAAUGUAUUACAGCUGGGGAGCCCCAGGGUGCCGGGAGGGCGCCCCACAGGUGAAGUAAGUGCCGGGCUCUCCAGGAGCUGCCAUCUGUAGCCCCUGACCUCCCGGGAGUUGCCUCCCUUCUCUUGCCCCCGUGUGCCAGGUGGGAUUUGUAUGAGCCCCUCCUUUGCUUGGAUGCGACCCGCAGACAGGGUUUGCAGAGGUCCCCCCCUGGUACCACGAGCCCCCUGACCCUCACACGCCUUUGUCUCCCUCUCAGCAGCGGCGCCCAGGAUGAACGUGGCCUGAAGCCGCCUUCCCGGGGCCAGUUUCCUUCCCUCUCAGCCAGGGAUGCCUCGAGCAGCCACAGGGGCAGGGUGAGUGGCGGGCCGCUAGGGGCCGCUGCUGCCUCUGCCCACUGCACCCACUGCACAGAAACUGUGGGGAGGGAGCAUGGAGCCUCACAGGGCCCCGUGGGGAGGGAGCAUGGAGCCUCACAGGGCCUUGAAGAGCUGUGCCCCAGGGGGAGCUGCGUGUGCAGGUCUGUGAAUGCGCACACACGUGUAACACGUGCCCCGCACGGAGCCAUCCUGGCCCCUCAGCCUCUGCUGCUGUCCUGGUCUGUGGAAUGUGGGCCCAGGCCCUGCUGGGCUGAGGGCAACAGGAGUCACGUGGAAGAGGCGCCACACACGCGUCCACAGGCGGGGCUCCUCCUCUGCUCAGAUUCUCCGAGUGUGCCGAACAUCCUGACUGCCAUCCUGCUGCUGCUGCGGGAGCUGGACGCAGAGGGGCUGGAGGCCGUGCAGCAGACUGUGGGCAGCCGGCUGCAGGCCCUGCGUGGGGAAGAGGUGCAGGAGCACGCCGAGUGACCGCAGGACCUGAGCGCCGCUCCACCCUCCACGGGGACCCCAGCGUCUUCCCCAGCCCCCGGGAGCUGGAGGGUGGCUGCCACGGCCGCAGCCCCGGCCCCACACAAAAGCCUCCCCGGUUUGCCACAUCGGCCGAGGGCAGGAGUGGGUGUUAGGUACUGGCUAACCGGGGCGGUGGAGAUGCCUGUCCACACCAGUCCUGUCCCCAGGACUCCCCUUCUGUGGUCUGGAGGUUCUAGGCUGGCCUGGGCUCUUAAAGGGAGGAUUUUGCAGGCUGUCCUCCCUAAUAAAAGAUUUUCCCAAGGUU
rnacentral:sRNA from 1 species